GACGGAGGAUGCAAGCGUUAUCCGGAAUUAUUGGGCGUAAAGCGUCCGCAGGUGGCUAGUCAAGUCUGCUGUCAAAGCGCGGAGCUUAACUUCGUAAAGGCAGUGGAAACUGAUUAGCUAGAGCAUGGUAGGGGUAGAGGGAAUUCCCGGUGUAGCGGUGAAAUGCGUAGAGAUCGGGAAGAACACCAGUGGCGAAAGCGCUCUACUGGGCCAUGACUGACACUGAGACGCGAAAGCGUGGGGAGCGAACCGG
rnacentral:rRNA from 1 species